UCCCAGGUGGUCUAGUGGAUAGGAUUCGUGGCUCUCACCCACGCGGCCCGGGUUCGAUUUUCGGUCUGGGAA
rnacentral:tRNA from 1 species